GAGUUUAGUCGGUUGUUGUAAAGUCGGAGUUGUCCGUCAUAGAGUCGGAGUUGUCCAUCAUAGAGUUGAUGUCAGCGGCCGAUUGAUUUGAGUCAUGAUUCGAUUGACUUACCCCAACAAGAGCCUUCUCCAUUGCCUUUGUCGGUGCUGCUCUUAGAUCCGAAGUCACAUUGUCAGCCAUGAGAGUGAGAGCUUCCGAAGCCACACUGUCAGCCAUGAGGGUUAUAAAAGAGACUUACAGAUUGAAAAAGAAAAAUAAAGAGAUGGUGGCAUUUUUGUGUGAGGAACAAACUUUGAUGGAAAUUCCUCUGCCUUCCCUUGAAAUGCGAAAUUCCUGAGAUGACAUCUUUAAAACAAACUAUAUAUUCUAAUAUUCUGUCGAAAAACUAUAUAUUCGAGUGCAUCC
rnacentral:lncRNA from 1 species